rnacentral:rRNA from 1 species
UAGUAUUAUACGGCGACUGCGAAUGGCUCUAUAUAUUAUCGUUAUUUGAUAGCACCUACUACUUGGAUAACCGUGGUAAUUCUAAGCUAAUACAUGCUAAAUCCCGACUUGGAAGGGAUGUAUUUAUUAGAUUAAAAACCAAUGCCCUCUGGGCUCUCUGGUGAUUCAUGAUAACUUCUCGAAUCGCAUGCCUUGCGCCGGCGAUGGUUCAUUCAAAUUUCUUCCCUAUCAACUUUCGAUGUUUGGGUAGUGGCCAAACAUGGUUGCAACGGGUAACGGAGGGUUAGGGCUCGACCCAGAAGGAGCCUGAAAAACGGCUACUACAUCCAAGGAAGGCAGCAGGCGCGCAAAUUACCCAAUCCCGACACGGGGAGGUAGUGACAAUAAAUACUGAUACAGGGCUCUUUUGGGUCUUGUAAUUGGAAUGAGUACAAUUUAAAUCCCUUAACGAGGAACAAUUGGAGGGCAAGUCUGGUGCCAGCAGCCGCGGUAAUUCCAGCUCCAAUAGGGUAUAUUACCAGGAAGUUGUUGUGGUUAAAAAGCUCGUAGUAGAACCUUGGGCCUGGCUGGCGGUCCGCCUCACCGUGCACUGGUCCGGCCGGGCCUUUCCCUCGAACCCCAUGCCCUUCACUGGUGUGGCGGGAAACAGGACUUUUACUUUGAAAAAAUUAGAGUGCUCCAGGCAGGCCUAUGCUCGAAUACAUUAGCAUGGAAUAAUGAAAUAGGACGUGCGGUUCUAUUUUGUUGGUUUCUAGGACCGCCGUAAUGAUUAAUAGGGACAGUCGGGGGCAUCAGUAUUCAAUUGUCAGAGUGAAAUUCUUGGAUUUAUUGAAGACUAACUACUGCGAAAUUUGCCAAGGAUGUUUUCAUUAAUCAGGAACGAAAGUUAGGGGAUCGAAGACGAUCAGAUACCGUCGUAGUCUUAACCAUAAACUAUGCCGACUAGGGAUCGGACGAUGUUAUUUUUUGACUCGUUCGGCACCUUAGAGAAAUCAAAGUGCUUGGGCUCCGGGGGGAGUAUGGACGCAGGCUGAAAAAGAAAUUGACGGAAGGGCACCACCAGGGGGGGAACCUGCGAUUUGACUCCACGGGGAAACUCACCAGGUCCAGACACAGAGGAUUGACAGAUUGAGAGCUCUUUCUUGAUUUUGUGGGUGGUGGUGCAUGCCGUUCUUAGUUGGUGGAGUGAUUUGGCUUAAUUGCGAUAACGAACGAGACCUUAACCUGUAAAUAGCCCGUAUUGCUUUGGCAGUACGCCGGCUUCUUAGAGGGACUAUCGGCUCAAGCCGGAAGUUUGAGGCAAUAACAGGUCUGUGAUGCCCUUAGAUGUUGUGGGCCGCACGCGCGCUACACGACGGAGCCAGCGAGUACUCCCUUGGCCGGAAGGCCCGGGUAAUCUUGUUAAACUCCGUCGUGCUGGGGAUAGAGCAUUGCAAUUAUUGCUCUUCAACGAGGAAUCCCUAGUAAGCGCAAGUCAUCAGCUUGCGUUGAUUACGUCCCUGCCCUUUGUACACACCGCCCGUCGCUACUACCGAUUGAAUGGCUCGUGAGGCGUCCGGACCCAGAGAGGUGGGCAUACCAUCACCAACUCUCC